CUCUUCGGAGAAUAGCGGCGGACGGGUGAGUAACGCGUGGGUAACCUGCCCUGUACACACGGAUAACAUACCGAAAGGUAUGCUAAUACGAGAUAAUAUACUUUUAUCGCAUGGUAGAAGUAUCAAAGCUCCGGCGGUACAGGAUGGACCCGCGUCUGAUUAGCUAGUUGGUAAGGUAAUGGCUUACCAAGGCGACGAUCAGUAGCCGACCUGAGAGGGUGAUCGGCCACAUUGGAACUGAGACACGGUCCAAACUCCUACGGGAGGCAGCAGUGGGGAAUAUUGCACAAUGGGCGAAAGCCUGAUGCAGCAACGCCGCGUGAGCGAUGAAGGCCUUCGGG
rnacentral:rRNA from 1 species